rnacentral:rRNA from 1 species
UACGUAGGGUGCGAGCGUUAAUCGGAAUUACUGGGCGUAAAGUGUGCGCAGGCGGCCGAGCAAGUCGAGUGUGAAAGCCCCGAGCUUAACUUGGGAAUUGCGCUCGAAACUACUUGGCUGGAGUGUGGCAGAGGAAGGUGGAAUUCCAGGUGUAGCGGUGAAAUGCGUAGAGAUCGGGAGGAACACCAGAGGCGAAGGCGGCGACCUGGACAAGUACUGACACUCAACUACGAAAGCGUGGGGAGCAAACAGG